rnacentral:lncRNA from 1 species
UCCCCUCACCGACCCCCGCUUUGUCCUCUCAGCGGUUCCUGAUGGUUUUUAAGGGGUUUUCGCACCUUUUUUCUGUCAGGUUUUAGCAGCUUCUCCUCCCGGCGGUUCCUGUCAGCGAUUCCCGCCCUUUCCUCUCCUCUUUUAUUUCCUUUUUUCUCCUCUUUUCUUUCCUUUUUUUCUCAUAAUUUCUUUCCUUUUCUAACAGAUUUUCCCACCUUUUCCUGUCAGCAAUUAAUACUACCUUUUCCUUCCAGCUUUUUGUUGCUUUUUCUGUCAAAUUUUCCCACAUUUUCCUCUCAGUUCUUGAAUUUUCCUGUCAGUUUUUACCUCAGUUUUUGCCUUUUCCUGUCAGUUUUUGCCUUUUCCUGUCAGUUUUUACCUCAGUUCUUGCCUUUUCCCGUCAGUUUUUUACCUCAGUUUUUGCCUUUUCCUGUCAGUUUUUUACCUCAGUUCUUGCCUUUUCCCGUCAGUUUUUACCUCAGUUUUUGCCUUUUCCUGUCAGAUUUUUACCUCAGUUUUUGCCUUUUCCUGUCAGAUUUUACCACAGUUUUUGCCUUUUCCUGUCAGUUUUUACCUCAGUUUUUGCUUUUUUUUUUUUUUUCCUUUUUUUUUUGGUCAGCUUUUUAUUUCCUUUCUUGCCUUUUCCUUUCCGCUUUUCAUCCCAUUUUUACCUUUUCCUUUCAGUUUUUAUUGCUUUCUCCCCUUUUUGCCUUUUCCUCUGUUUUUCCUGCCUUUUUCUGUCAGUGAUUCUUGCCUUUUUCUCUCCAUUCCUCCCACCCUUUUCUAACAACUUUUCCCUCUCAUUUCUAACAGUUUUUCACACUUUUUUUCUCAGCAGUUCCCACCUUUUCAGUUUUUCCUACCUUUUCCUGCCCUUUCCUCUUUUUCUUACCUUUUUCUCUCAGCUUUUCCCCUCAUCUUCCCCCCUCUUUUUCUAAUAGUUUUCCCCCCCUUUUCCUCUCAGCUUUUCUUGUCAUUUUCCUCAGCUUUUCCCACCUUUUCCUCUCAGCUUUUCUUGCCCUUUUCCUCACACCUUUUCCUCUCAGCUUUUCCUUCCUUUUCCUCUCACCUUUUCCCACCUUUUCCUCUCAGCUUUCCUUCCCCUUUCCCUAAUGUCUUUUCCCACCCUUCCCUCACCUUUUCUUACCUUUUUCUCCUCUUUUUCCCUUCCUUUCUCCACGUUUCCCUCUCACCUCUUCCCACCUCGUCCCUGAGGCAAAAUGGCGGAGGCGGCGGAGACAAAAUGGCGGAACCGGGGGGCAGCGACACCCUCGUGAUGUCACACCCCCAUGACGUCACACCCCUAUGACGUCACACCCCUACGACGUCACAC